AUCUGGCUGGCUGAGUUGGUAAAGCAUCAGACUCUUGACCUCAGUUGUGAGUUCAAGCCCCACGUUGGGUG
rnacentral:tRNA from 1 species